rnacentral:rRNA from 1 species
CAGUCGCCACGGUAAUACGUAGGGUGCGAGCGUUAAUCGGAAUUACUGGGCGUAAAGCGUGCGCAGGCGGUUGUGUAAGACAGGUGUGAAAUCCCCGGGCUUAACCUGGGAACUGCGCUUGUGACUGCACAACUAGAGUAUGGCAGAGGGGGGUGGAAUUCCACGUGUAGCAGUGAAAUGCGUAGAGAUGUGGAGGAACACCGAUGGCGAAGGCAGCCCCCUGGGCCAAUACUGACGCUCAUGCACGAAAGCGUGGGGAGCAAACAGGAUUAGAUACCCCGGUAGUCCCUGUCUCUUAUAA